AUUGAACGCUGGCGGCAGGCCUAACACAUGCAAGUCGAACGGUAACAGGAAACAGCUUGCUGUCUCGCUGACGCGUCGGGGAGGGGAGUGUAAUGUCUGGGAAACUGCCUGAUGGCGGGGGAUAACUACUGGAAACGGUAGCAAAUACCGCAUAACGUCGCAAGCGCAAAGAGCGGGACCUUCGGGCCUCUUGCCAGUGAAUGUGACCAGAUGGAGUUAGCUAGUAGGUGGGGUAACGGCUAACCUAGGCGACGAUCCCUAGCUGGUCUGAGAGGAUGACCGGCCACACUGGAACUGAGACACGGUCCAGACUCCUACGGGAGGCAGCAGUAGGGAAUAUUGCACAAUGGGCGCAAGCCUGAUGCAGCCAUGCCGCGUGUGUGAAGAAGGCCUUCGGAUUGUAAAGUACUUUCAGCGGGGAAGAAGAGAGUAAAGAUAAAACCUUUACGCAUUGACGUUACCCACAGAGAAAGCACCGGCUAACUCCGUG
rnacentral:rRNA from 1 species